rnacentral:lncRNA from 1 species
CAAAUGUAUAGCUGGUGAUAAGACAAGAUGGCAAUAGCACAGGACUGCCCUGGUGGAGACUCUGUGACAACCACCUGGAUAGUUUGAGAACUGCUGCUUUUGCUGCUUGAAGUCCAGACUAAGGAAGGAUGCAAGCCCCCAAAGAACUAGAUGAGAGUCUAUGAAUCAAAAACAUGGAGCUGGGAGGAAUCUCACAUGUUGAUGAGGAAGCUGAGGCCAAAGAAUGAUUUGCCCAAGGUUCAAGGUGUUAAUAAGGAGCAGAGGUCCUUACCUCCAAACCCAGGUGCUUUUUCCACUCUUAAGGACCUCAAAGUCUAAUGGGAAGGCAACAUAGAAACAACUAUAUGCAAACAGAAUCUAUACAGGAUAAAUCAGAG